AAUAUUUUCAUUAUUUAGAAAUUUUGUUUCUCAUCAUUUAUCAACAUUUUAGAUUUCUCAUCGUCACUAAGAUGUAAGCCAUCAAUUCUGCAGACUCCUUUGUUUAAUAUGAGCCUUAAAAUGCCACUAUAGACACCAACAAGCUCCAAUGUUUAUUGGAAUGCAAACGUGGCUUUAUUUAUUAUAUCAUGAUAUUAAAUGUAAUCAUCGAGAGAACUAGAUUAUGAAUGAAUCCCAUCACAUAUCGUCAUGCUCCUGGUCAUUUACAGGACCACAAAAUCAGUCCUAAAGUCCUUGGCUUAGAGAGAUUUCAAUACUAAACUCUCUCCUUAUUUCAUUUUCACUUCACUUGACAUAUCUUUGAUAAAUGAAAUUCGAUUAAGAGGGGAAACUGUAGUUCAGUAGCAUAUAAUCAUAAGCACUAAAACAUUAAAUUAAUAUGAUAAUUAAAUAAAGAGAUAUUUAAAAGUGCGAUGUGGCAUCAUAUCAUAUGCCUGUGCAUGCUAAUACUAACCCCCCCAAAAAAAAAAAAAAAAAUUAAAUAUGUGGUGGUAAUGUUAGGAAUGUAUCCAGCAUGAGCAUUUGGUUUCGAAUUUUCAGCUUAGCUCCAUGUACAUAUAUAAGACAAAACAAUUUUGAAAGGGAAAAUUAAAAUGGUAUUUGUCAAUUCUUGCUCCUUGUUUUAAGGGUUUCUUCUUCACCUUGGAGCUAAUGGAAUGAAGAUAAAAAGAGUGUGUUGCAGCAAAAGGAUGAAUCAGUGUGACAGGGACACCACCAUUAAUUAAAUUCUAUGGCCACCCCACUUGGUUUAAUGCCCACAGCCAUCUCUUUCGACACGCAAAUUAUUUUCUUCUUCUCUUCUUCUCCCCUUGCUAAUAAAGCUAAGUUUUUCAAUUAUUUUUCCCCCCCUCUAAGGAAGAAUAUACUCCAACGUGACUAUGCUUUGAAGGAGUAAGGCUAUAUAUGCAUGCAUCACUAGAAAUAUAUAUAAUAUAAGUGGGUAUGGUAAGAUGGAUAAUUUUUAAUUAUGUGAUAAGAUAACAUUUUGUAUGUGGGUGUUGUGCAUUUUUAUUUGGUUUAUUAUAGAGAUAGAUCUUGAGAAUAUGGUUGAUGAUGUAAGAGUUUGCACUAAACUUAUCAAGUUUUAGUGGCCUAGGGAAGGAUGAAGCUUGUCUCACAUUGAAUGGAGCAAAGGUCCCAUUCUAUGGGAUGCCUUAUAUAGUUAUAUUGUGAUUUAGGCUUAGCUUGAGGUUAUGUGUAAUCAUAUAUGUAAUUGAGUUGCCCCGUUACUAAUUAUAGAUGCCCUUACUCAGUUUAGAAAGCAGAUUAAUUAUGAUGUUGGGUUUUAAUUACUUAAUAGCUGUUUAAGCUAUGCUGUUACGUGGAUUAUAAAGCUUUUGAGCAGCCAAAACUUUUCUAGUUUUUUUUUUUGUUCCUUUUCUAUUGGAGAUAAAGGAGAUAUUCUUUUUUUAUCGCCAUUUCUUUUCUGGAAUAUUGAUCAGUCAAAGACAAAUAGCCAUGGUGAUGAUAAUCGACUUAGAAUGAUUGAGAAAGUGAUGAGUCCAAGUGGGUCACUUUCUAUUUUGAUAUAUAUAUGGUCCUUCAUUCAUUACAGCAAUUUGCAUAUUUGAUAAUAAAAAGAAACAGAAAAUAAUUAAUUCUAGUGAAUAAUGGCUCGGAUGAUUCUUCAACUUUCAAUUUGAUUGAAAAAGAAGAAUUAUAUAAUACAACUUCAUUAAUAUUCAGUAUAUUCUUAAUCAAUUCUACAUAUUUGGAUGUGUAAUUAUUUGUCUGCCGCGACACUAAUUCUGUUUAGAAUCAAUAGAAUGAUCACCACAACAUAAAGUUAGGAACUAUGGGAAGAUUCUUCAAUCAUCAAUUUGAUUGUAAACAAAGAAUUAUAAAAUUUGAGGCUUCCAGUGUUUAAGGGGUCGAGGAGUAUUGUUUGAUAUGACAUUGUGUUCUAGAAUUAAUAGGUGUAUUAUAGUCAAAUCCUGAGUGUAUGAGAUAAAAAUAAUAAAUAAAAAUAAAAAUAAAAUUGCAAUCAAAUCUUAAUUUCAACAGCCUUUUAAUUUGAAUUUAGAAUCAGAAGCGAUCAAAGAAUUGAUAGUGUUAGCAUGUAUAUGGAAUAUUAAUGGGCAAGGUUUGAGAUAAGUCUUUGAGCAGAAUGAAAGAAUGAAAAUUGAAAGUGCAAGUGGGGAUCCAUAUGCUUGCUUAAAAUGGCACACGUUUCUCUUGGUACUUGACGCAGAUGCAUACGUACGAUCAUGUUCUUUAAUUCGUGGCAAUUUGUAAAUUGUUAUAUAAUUGGAAGAUUGGAUGAGAUAAGGAGAUAAGCCACGACUGCGACGCAUUUUGUUUUCCUUUGUUUUAGUAUUGCUAAUGCAACAAAAAAGUCGUCAUUUAGGACAGCAAAUUUGAGAUUUAGACACACGAUGAUGAUGUUCUCCAAUUGCAAACAACUAUUAUUCGAAAAAAGUUAUAUAAUAUAUAUAUAUAUAUAUAUAAACGGAGCAUUUUGGCCUGGAGGGUGAGCUAGCGACUAAUUAAACAUGAAGCUGGUUUGGUUUCAACAAGGGUGGUGGUUUGAAAAAGGAGAUGAGUUGUAUUAAUUCAAAAGGAAUAAUUGUUUUUGGAAAAUAGAGUCUUUUUAUUUUAAGAUACAAAUAAAAAAAAAUGAGAUAAAUAUUGUGGAAAAUCAUCCAUCCAUAUAUGAUACUGACAACAGAUAAGUGCAAACUCAUUCAAAGUAUCAAUAGUUUUAGUAUAAUCUCUCGACAUAUGACCAAUUCUAAAAUCUUAUUUUGGUAACAAUAGAUGAUCCAACUCGAUAAUUAUUGAAUCGCUUUCUCACUGUAAGAAUGUUACUGCUAUUAAUGCUGCUUAAGUGUUAAUCACUGGAAUUCAUUGAUGUAGGAAGCAUAUUAGAUAAAAUUAAUUAGAGUUUACUAGGAAUUAUAAUGUUUGGGUCAAUUUAUAAUUUAUUAUUUUAUUAUAAUUUAUCUUGUUUUAUUAAGUUUAUUUGAGUCACGUUUGUAAUUAUAGUCUUAUUAGGAUUUGAGAUUAUUUCUCUUAUUUAAAAAAGAUUAGGAUUAAGUUAGCUACUAAUAUAUAUAGGCUUGUUAUUCAUAAUUUAUGGUAACACACACAAGUUUAUCAUUAAUAAUGUUCAGUAUAUUGUCAAUUGAGAUAUUUCCUCCUUUGUGAGAGCCCCUUUAUUGAGUUUUCAAGAACAUAUAAUAGAAUGAAAUUUAUUAUCGCUUCCGCCCUGCGUCAUUCAUGAACAUUUUUACAUGUAAUUCUAAAAUAGAGACAAUCUUUAAGCACCUUGGUGUAUAUAUCCAUUUCCACUGAAUUUUUGUCACACGAAACUAGGGAUGGCCAAUAGGUCGGGCUGACCACCAAAAGCAAAGCUCAUGCGUGCUCAUGCUCGUGCCUAAAUUUUUUUUACUUAGACCCGGCCUGGCACACACGUUGUGUCGUGCCGUGCCUAGCCUAAGAAAAAAGCCCAAUAAGCUUUUUUUAAAAAAAUUUUUUAAGGGCGCAUGCUAAGUUGUUGGCGUACUUUU
rnacentral:lncRNA from 1 species